rnacentral:rRNA from 1 species
AUUGAACGCUGGCGGCAGGCCUAACACAUGCAAGUCGAACGGUAACAGGAAGAAGCUUGCUUCUUUGCUGACGAGUGGCGGACGGGUGAGUAAUGUCUGGGAAACUGCCUGAUGGAGGGGGAUAACUACUGGAAACGGUAGCUAAUACCGCAUAACGUCGCAAGACCAAAGAGGGGGACCUUCGGGCCUCUUGCCAUCGGAUGUGCCCAGAUGGGAUUAGCUAGUAGGUGGGGUAACGGCUCACCUAGGCGACGAUCCCUAGCUGGUCUGAGAGGAUGACCAGCCACACUGGAACUGAGACACGGUCCAGACUCCUACGGGAGGCAGCAGUGGGGAUUAUUGCACAAUGGGCGCAAGCCUGAUGCAGCCAUGCCGCGUGUAUGAAGAAGGCCUUCGGGUUGUAAAGUACUUUCAGCGGGGAGGAAGGGAGUAAAGUUAAUACCUUUGCUAAUUGACGUUACCCGCAGAAGAAGCACCGGCUAACUCCGUG